rnacentral:tRNA from 1 species
AGGGUUAUAGUUUAUAAAUAACACUUGAUUUGCACUCAAAAAGUAUUACUCUUCACGUAAUUAACCUUG